AUUGAACGCUGGCGGCAGGCCUAACACAUGCAAGUCGAACGGUAACAGGAAUCAGCUUGCUGAUUCACUGACGAGUGGCGGACGGGUGAGUAAUGUCUGGGAAACUGCCUGAUGGAGGGGGAUAACUACUGGAAACGGUAGCUAAUACCGCAUAACGUCGCAAGACCAAAGAGGGGGACCUUCGGGCCUCUUGCCAUCGGAUGUGCCCAGAUGGGAUUAGCUAGUAGGUGGGGUAACGGCUCACCUAGGCGACGAUCCCUAGCUGGUCUGAGAGGAUGACCAGCCACACUGGAACUGAGACACGGUCCAGACUCCUACGGGAGGCAGCAGUGGGGAAUAUCGCACAAUGGGCGCAAGCCUGAUGCAGCCAUGCCGCGUGUAUGAAGAAGGCCUUCGGGUUGUAAAGUACUUUCAGCGAGGAGGAAGGUGUUGUGGUUAAUAACCACAGCAAUUGACGUUACUCGCAGAAGAAGCACCGGCUAACUCCGUGCCAGCCGCCGCAGUAA
rnacentral:rRNA from 1 species